rnacentral:rRNA from 1 species
GACGAGCGCUGGCGGCGUGCUUAACACAUGCAAGUCGAACGGAAAGGCCCUGCUUUUGUGGGGUGCUCGAGUGGCGAACGGGUGAGUAACACGUGAGUAACCUGCCCUUGACUUUGGGAUAACUUCAGGAAACUGGGGCUAAUACCGGAUAGGAGCUCCUGCUGCAUGGUGGGGGUUGGAAAGUUUCGGCGGUUGGGGAUGGACUCGCGGCUUAUCAGCUUGUUGGUGGGGUAGUGGCUUACCAAGGCUUUGACGGGUAGCCGGCCUGAGAGGGUGACCGGCCACAGUGGGACUGAGAUACGGCCCAGACGCCUACGGGAGGCAGCAGUGGGGAAUAUUGCACAAUGGGCGGAAGCCUGAUGCAGCAACGCCGCGUGCGGGAUGACGGCCUUCGGGUUGUAAACCGCUUUCGCCUGUGACGAAGCGUGAGUGACGGUAAUGGGUAAAGAAGCACCGGCUAACUACGUG